GAUUAUUAAGAAGACUAUGAAGUUGCUAGCUUGGAUGUGGCUAUCUUUAUUUGAUGCCUUGCUCUUCAUCUUGCUUGCUUAUUGAUAUUGCUUGAUUUUAAAGUCCAAAGGAAAUGUGGGUUUCUAUAUGACAUUCUUGUCAAUUGAAUUGCAUCCCAUUGGUCAGAUAUUUUUAACUCUCAACUUUUAAAUUUUUGCUUAGGAUUAGUCUCUUCAUCUCCUCCCACUUCUUAAAUUUCAAAUCUCUCCCCUCUUUCAAAACCUU
rnacentral:lncRNA from 1 species